rnacentral:lncRNA from 1 species
UUUUAUUUGUAAAAACCGGUUGCAUUCAUUAAAUUGAUUUCACUAUUGGGCUGCAUCCCAUAGUUUUGAAAGCACUGCUUUUACCCAUCCUAGCUGAAGAAUUAAAGCUAGUUAAUGUCCUCAAUAACAGGUUGAGAGUCAAGUAGGAAAAACACUGGAGACCUGGGGCCAAAUCCCUGCUCUUCUACUGCCUUGCUAAGCAAGGGAGGAUGCAUCGCUGUGCCUCACUUUCCGACUUUAAAAGAGGGAGUAAAAACAUUGAAAUCUUUAUAGAAGUUUCUGCACAACCAUAGGCAUCCCUGGAUGAGCCCCAGGUGCUGCAAGAGAACAAUGGACACAAUGAGUCCAGCUGGUGUCACACUUGGUCACUCAGUGCUUCUGGGGGUUACGAGACAUUUUUCUCUCCCACCAGCCCUGGGCAACCACUAUUUGACUUUCUGUCUCUAUGAAUUUUACUACCUUCCACUUUCUCCAUUCUUUCAUUGAGAACUCUGGGGGAUCAAAGAAGAACGCCAGCUGCGGUGGACCGCUGAGGAAUGGCCGGAGUCCGGGCGGGAGCGCCGCUUCCCCUCGCCCUCCGCCUCUCCCUUCCCGCGGCCCCUGGAGGCCGAGACCCAUCCGCGUCCCGCGCGCGCUUUCCUCAGAGGCUCGGCCGGGCGCCCUGCUUCGAAGUGGGCCUGAGGGAGCCUCCGCCUCCGCCGCUGCUUUCUUCCCCUUCGUUCUCCAGCGGCUCCUCCAGGCCGCUCCAGAGACCCCGAGGACCCAAGGACGGUGCCGGGCGGAAAGUCUGUGCGAAGCUGGUGAAAAGGUUGCCCGGAGAGAGCGGAAGCUGUGAGGAUGGG